rnacentral:lncRNA from 10 species
AUUUAAGUAAUGUACAUUUUAUUUAAGUCAUGUGAUGGAUUUUCACAGAAUACAUAUGCCCAGGGAACCAGCACCAGAUUACACAACAGAACUGGAUCAGCUCCCAGAAGCUCUCCCCUCGUCCCCUCCCAACCCUAAGGGCGAUCACUAUCUUGACUUUGGUGCACUAUAAAUUAGUUUUGUCUGGUUCUGAACGUAAUACACCUGGAACCAUCUAGUAUGUACUGUUGCAUUUGGCUUCUGUCACUCAAGAUUUCAUCAUGCGACUUGUCUAUGUUGCUGUGUGUAGCCGGGCAGCUGUGGCGUAGUGAAAGGGCAGGAUGCGGGAUAGGAAUGGAGUUAUUCCUGAUUCAGACUGAUUUGCUCUAACUGUGAUUUGGGGCAAGUCCCUUCCCCUGUCUAGACCUUAGCUGGCUGCCGCAUCUAAAAAAUGGAGCCAAUAAUCUUUUCCUCGUCUUUGGGGUCAUCCAUCUUUCAACCACAUCAGGAGCAGCGGGAACCAAGUGCAGAGGAUGGCCUUAAAAGCAGUAUGGGAACCAAAUUUUUGUAAAGUAAAUAUUU